rnacentral:rRNA from 1 species
CUACGUGCCAGCAGCCGCGGUAAUACGGAAGGUCCGGGCGUUAUCCGGAUUUAUUGGGUUUAAAGGGAGCGUAGGCUGGAGAUUAAGUGUGUUGUGAAAUGUAGACGCUCAACGUCUGAAUUGCAGCGCAUACUGGUUUCCUUGAGUACGCACAACGUUGGCGGAAUUCGUCGUGUAGCGGUGAAAUGCUUAGAUAUGACGAAGAACUCCGAUUGCGAAGGCAGCUGACGGGAGCGCAACUGACGCUUAAGCUCGAAGGUGCGGGUAUCAAACAGGAUUAGAUACCCUGGUAGUCCGCACAGUAAACGAUGGAUGCCCGCUGUUGGUACUUGGUAUCAGCGGCUAAGCGAAAGCAUUAAGCAUCCCACCUGGGGAGUACGCCGGCAACGGUGAAACUCAAAGGAAUUGACGGGGGCCCGCACAAGCGGAGGAACAUGUGGUUUAAUUCGAUGAUACGCGAGGAACCUUACCCGGGCUUGAA